rnacentral:rRNA from 1 species
AUUGAACGCUGGCGGCAGGCCUAACACAUGCAAGUCGAGCGGAUGAAGGGAGCUUGCUCCCGGAUUCAGCGGCGGACGGGUGAGUAAUGCCUAGGAAUCUGCCUGGUAGUGGGGGAUAACGUCCGGAAACGGGCGCUAAUACCGCAUACGUCCUGAGGGAGAAAGUGGGGGAUCUUCGGACCUCACGCUAUCAGAUGAGCCUAGGUCGGAUUAGCUAGUUGGUGGGGUAAAGGCCUACCAAGGCGACGAUCCGUAACUGGUCUGAGAGGAUGAUCAGUCACACUGGAACUGAGACACGGUCCAGACUCCUACGGGAGGCAGCAGUGGGGAAUAUUGGGCAAUGGGCGAAAGCCUGAUCCAGCCAUGCCGCGUGUGUGAAGAAGGUCUUCGGAUUGUAAAGCACUUUAAGUUGGGAGGAAGGGCAGUAAGUUAAUACCUUGCUGUUUUGACGUUACCAACAGAAUAAGCACCGGCUAACUUCGUG